rnacentral:rRNA from 1 species
AUCUUCCGCAAUGGACGAACGUCUGACGAAGCAAUGCGGCUUGAGUGAUGAGGGCCUUCGAAUCGAAAAAUCCUGUAGUAAGGGAAGAACAAAUAUCGGUGUAAUGUGUCGGUACCUUGACUAUACCCAACCAGACAGCCCCGGCUAAACAUGGGCAGACAGCCGCGGUAAUACGUAGGGGGUAAGCGUUGUCCGGAAUUAUUGGGCGUAAAGGGCACGCAGGCGGUUAUUUAAGUCUGAUGUGAAAUCUUGUGGCUUAACCCCGAGGCGUCAUUGGAAACUGGAUAACUUGAGUACAGAAGAGGAGAGUGGAAUUCCAAGUGUAGCGGUGAAAUGCGUAGAGAUGUGGAGGAACACCAGUGGCGAAGGCGGCUCUCUGGACAGUAACUGACGCUGAGGUGCGAAAGCGUGGGUAGCGAACA